CCUACGGGGGGCUGCAGUGGGGAAUAUUGCACAAUGGGCGCAAGCCUGAUGCAGCCAUGCCGCGUGUGUGAAGAAGGCCUUCGGGUUGUAAAGCACUUUCAGCGGGGAGGAAGGCGGUGAGGUUAAUAACCUCAUCGAUUGACGUUACCCGCAGAAGAAGCACCGGCUAACUCCGUGCCAGCAGCCGCGGUAAUACGGAGGGUGCAAGCGUUAAUCGGAAUUACUGGGCGUAAAGCGCACGCAGGCGGUCUGUCAAGUCGGAUGUGAAAUCCCCGGGCUCAACCUGGGAACUGCAUUCGAAACUGGCAGGCUAGAGUCUUGUAGAGGGGGGUAGGAUUCCAGGUGUAGCGGUGAAAUGCGUAGAGAUCUGGAGGAAUACCGGUGGUGAAGGCGGCCCCCUGGACAAAGACUGACGCUCAGGUGCGAAAGCGUGGGGAGCAAACAGGAUUAGAUACCCGAGUAGUC
rnacentral:rRNA from 1 species